UGUCCCUACGGGGGGCAGCAGUGGGGAAUAUUGGGCCAUGGGCGCAAGCCUGACCCAGCAACGCCGCGUGAAGGAAGAAGGCCCUCGGGUUGUAAACUUCUUUUAUUCGGGACGAAACAAAUGACGGUACCGAAUGAAUAAGCCACGGCUAACUACGUGCCAGCAGCCGCGGUAAUACGUAGGUGGCAAGCGUUAUCCGGAUUUACUGGGUGUAAAGUGCGGGUAGGCGGGAGGGCCAGUCAGACG
rnacentral:rRNA from 1 species